rnacentral:rRNA from 1 species
GACAGAGGUGCCAAGCGUUAGGCGGAAUCACUGGGCUUAAAGCGCGUGUAGGUGGCGGCCUAAGUACCUUGUGAAAUCCUGCGGCUCAACCGCAGAACUGCUCGGUAUACUGGGUCGCUUGAGCCAUCCAGGGGCAACUGGAACAAGCGGUGGAGCGGUGAAAUGCGUAGAUAUCUGGAGGAACACCGGUGGCGAAGGCGGCAUCCUGGACCAACACUGACACUGAGGAGCGAAAGCCAGGGGAGCAAACGGG